UACGUAGGGUGCAAGCGUUAAUCGGAAUUACUGGGCGUAAAGGGUGUGUAGGCGGUUUUUUAAGUCUGAUGUGAAAUCCCCGGGCUCAACCUGGGAACUGCGUUGGAUACUGGAGAACUAGAGUACGUAAGAGGGGGGUGGAAUUCCACGUGUAGCAGUGAAAUGCGUAGAGAUGUGGAGGAACACCGAUGGCGAAGGCGGCGUUCUGGACUGUUUCUGACACUGAAAAACGAAAGCCAGGGGAGCAAACGGG
rnacentral:rRNA from 1 species